rnacentral:tRNA from 1 species
AAUAAGUUGGCAGAAUAGUGCCCGGGUUUUUAAAAAGGGUUCAGGGGUUAUCCCACUUAUUA